rnacentral:sRNA from 1 species
ACGCGCCUGCGCAGAGGCGGCAGCACCACCGGGGUUGACUCCGGGGGCGCGGCGAGGAGAGACAUGAGGCUGAGCUGGGUCCGGGUCCUGACAGUACUGUCCAUCUGCCUGAGCGCCGUGGCCACGGCCACGGGGGCCGAGGGCAAAAGGAAGCUGCAGAUCGGGGUCAAGAAGCGGGUGGACCACUGUCCCAUCAAAUCGCGCAAAGGGGAUGUCCUGCACAUGCACUACACGGGGAAGCUGGAAGAUGGGACAGAGUUUGACAGCAGCCUGCCCCAGAACCAGCCCUUUGUCUUCUCCCUUGGCACAGGCCAGGUCAUCAAGGGCUGGGACCAGGGGCUGCUGGGGUGAGUCAUGGGGGAAUGGGCUUGGGAGUGGGGGCGUGCAUGGCCACCGCCCAGGAGGUAAGCUGUGGGAGGCAAGCCCCAGGGAUACAAGACAAGGGCCCUGGGUGCUGCCAUGGGCUGAGCAUGUGUCUUCCUGCAGGAUGUGUGAGGGGGAAAAGCGCAAGCUGGUGAUCCCAUCCGAGCUAGGGUAUGGAGAGCGGGGAGCUCCCCCAAAGAUUCCAGGCGGUGCAACCCUGGUGUUCGAGGUGGAGCUGCUCAAAAUCGAGCGACGAACUGAGCUGUAACCAGACUGGGGAGGGGCAGGGGGAGAGGCCCCCAUCAGGGACCAGACUGUUCCAAA